GCUAGCGUGGCAGAGCUUGGUAAAUGCAAAAGGCU
rnacentral:tRNA from 1 species